rnacentral:rRNA from 1 species
UACGAGGGGUGCAAGCGUUGCUCGGAAUUAUUGGGCGUAAAGGGUGCGUAGGCGGCGCGGUAAGUCGGGUGUGAAAUCUUGGAGCUUAACUCCGAAACUGCAUUCGAUACUGCCGUGCUUGAGGACUGGAGAGGAGACUGGAAUUUACGGUGUAGCGGUGAAAUGCGUAGAUAUCGUAAGGAAGACCAGUGGCGAAGGCGGGUCUCUGGACAGUUCCUGACGCUGAGGCACGAAGGCCAGGGGAGCAAACGGG